CAGGUGCUGCAUGGCUGUCGUCAGCUCGUGUCGUGAGAUGUUGGGUUAAGUCCCGCAACGAGCGCAACCCUUGUCUUUAGUUGCCAUCAUUUAGUUGGGCACUCUAAAGAGACUGCCGGUGUCAAACCGGGAGGAAGUGGGGAUGACGUCAAGUCCUCAUGGCCUUUAUGACCAGGGCUACACACGUACUACAAUGGCCGGUACAAAGGGCAGCCACUUAGCGAUAAGGAGCCAAUCCCGUAAAGCCGGUCUCAGUCCGGAUUGGAGUCUGCAACUCGACUCCAUGAAGUUGGAAUCGCUAGUAAUCGCAGAUCAGCACGCUGCGGUGAAUACGUUCCCGGGCCUU
rnacentral:rRNA from 1 species